rnacentral:rRNA from 1 species
AGCGUUGUCCGGAAUUAUUGGGCGUAAAGAGCUCGUAGGCGGUCUGUCGCGUCUGCUGUGAAAUCCCGAGGCUCAACCUCGGGCUUGCAGUGGGUACGGGCAGGCUAGAGUGCGGUAGGGGAGAAUGGAACUCCUGGUGUAGCGGUGGAAUGCGCAGAUAUCAGGAAGAACACCGAUGGCGAAGGCAGUUCUCUGGGCCGUAACUGACGCUGAGGAGCGAAAGCGUGGGGAGCGAACAGG